AUUGAACGCUGGCGGCAGGCCUAACACAUGCAAGUCGAGCGAGCGGCGGACGGGUGAGUAAUGUCUGGGACACUGCCUGAUGGAGGUGGAUAACUACUGGAAACGGUAGCUAAUACCGCAUACCAUCAGAUGUGCCCAGAUGGGAUGAGCUAGUAGGUGGGGUAACGGCUCACCUAGGCGACGAUCCCUCGCUGGUCUGGGAGGAUGACCAGCCAAACGGGAACUGGGACACGGGCCAGACUCCUACGGGAGGCAGAAGUGGGGAAUAUUGCACAAUGGGCGCAAGCCUGAUGCAGCCAUGCCGCGUGUGUGAAGAAGGCCUUCGGGUUGUAAAGCACUUUCAGCGGGGAGGCGUUACCCGCAGAAGAAGCACCGGCUAACUCCGUGCCAGCAGCCGCGGUAAUUC
rnacentral:rRNA from 1 species